GAUGAACGCUGGCGGCGUGCUUAAUACAUGCAAGUCGAGCGAAGCACUUUAACGGAAUUCUUCGGAAGGAAGGUAAAGUGACUGAGCGGCGGACGGGUGAGUAACGCGUGGGUAACCUGCCUUAUACAGGGGGAUAACAGUUAGAAAUGGCUGCUAAUACCGCAUAAGACCACAGCACCGCAUGGUGCAGGGGUAAAAACUCCGGUGGUAUGAGAUGGAUCCGCGUCUGAUUAGCUAGUUGGUAAGGUAACGGCUUACCAAGGCAACGAUCAGUAGCCGACCUGAGAGGGUGACCGGCCACAUUGGGACUGAGACACGGCCCAA
rnacentral:rRNA from 1 species